GAUGAACGCUGGCGGCGUGCCUAAUACAUGCAAGUCGAGCGAACGGACGAGAAGCUUGCUUCUCUGAUGUUAGCGGCGGACGGGUGAGUAACACGUGGAUAACCUACCUAUAAGACUGGGAUAACUUCGGGAAACCGUAGCUAAUACCGGAUAAUAUUUUGAACCGCAUGUUUCAAAAGUGAAAGACGGUCUUGCUGUCACUUAUAGAUGGAUCCGCGCUGCAUUAGCUAGUUGGUAAGUUAACGGCUUACCAAGGCAACGAUGCAUAGCCGACCUGAGAGGGUGAUCGGCCACACUGGAACUGAGACACGGUCCAGACUCCUACGGGAGGCAGCAGUAGGGAAUCUUCCGCAAAGGGCGAAAGCCUGACGGAGCAACGCCGCGUGAGUGAUGAAGGUCUUCGGAUCUUAAAACUCUGUUAUUAGGGAAGAACAUAUGUGUAAGUAACUGUGCACAUCUUGACGGUACCUAAUCAGAAAGCCACGGCUAACUACGUG
rnacentral:rRNA from 1 species